rnacentral:rRNA from 1 species
UACGUAGGGGGCAAGCGUUGUCCGGAUUUAUUGGGCGUAAAGAGCGUGUAGGCGGCCAGGUAGGUCCGUUGUGAAAACUCGAGGCUCAACCUCGAGACGUCGGCGGAAACCCUCUGGCUAGAGUCCGGAAGAGGAGAGUGGAAUUCCUGGUGUAGCGGUGAAAUGCGCAGAUAUCAGGAAGAACACCCGUGGCGAAGGCGGCUCUCUGGGCCGUAACUGACGCUGAGGAGCGAAAGCGUGGGGAGCGAACAGG